AUUACUUUGGCAGAAAAGUGUAAUAGAUUUAGAAUCUUUUAAUGUAAUUAAAAAUUACAGGUAAUA
rnacentral:tRNA from 1 species